CACAUGGCAAUGCAUUGAAUCCUUAUAACAUACCCUUGAUGCAGAGCCUAUUAUUGGCAUCAUCUCCCCAUUUUACAGAUGAUGAAACUGAGGCCCAGAGAAGUUGAGAUGCCUGACCGUCAUCCACUAGAAAGUGGCAGAGCUGGGAUUGGAAUGCAGGCUGUCUGGCACUCAGCUGUGUGCCUUCAAUACGCCACCAGGCCAACCUUUGCUGCAGAUCUAAAGCUUGAUGCUAUCCCCAGGGAGAAGCCAAGCCCAGUCUUCUUGCAGCUUUAGAUGCACUGAGCAUGAUCCUUGGAUUUCCAACCUGCUGUUGCAACUUCCUAUCAGAGCUCCUCUUGCCAGGAACAAAGCGACAGCCGUCUGCUGGUGAGCUGGGCUAAUCCUGUUAAACAAUUCACAGAUCUGACGCCGGACACGCUUUUUGAAACCUGAGGAACAGGAAAGGAGAUACAGUCAUGGAGGGAAGAUGGCCAUGUGAAGAAGGCAGAGAUUGGAGUGUUGUUGCCACAAGCUGAGGAAUGUCUGGAGCUGCAGGAGCCCGGAGGAAGCCGGGAAGCAUCCUUCCCUAGUGCCUGCAGAGGGAGCCUGGCCAGCCGACACAUUGAUUUCUGACUUCUGGCCUCCAGAGCUGCGAGCUACUCAGUUUCUGUUGUUUUCAGCCACCCAGUUGUGGUGACUUGCUGCGGUAGCCCCCAGAGACCAGGACGCCAGCCCAGGGAUGAGGGUGCUGGUCCUGGGGGUGUCAAUGCACUGGCACAUCCCGCUUGACCCUGGAGUGGCCAGAGAAAGCCCUGGGCAGAGGUGUGGGCAGAGGUGGCAGGUGUGGGCAGAGGUGGCAGGUGCUGGCAGAGGUGGCAGGUGUUGCGGGAAGUCAGGGACCCCGAACGGAGGGAUGGGCUGAAGCCGUGGCAGAAGAACAUAAAUUGUGAAGAUUUCAUGGACAUUUAUUAGUUCCCCAAAUUAAUACUUUUAUAAUUUCUUACGCCUGUCUUUACUGCAAUCUCUGAAUAUAAAUUGUGAAGAUUUCAUGGACACUUAUCACUUCCCCAGUCAAUACUCUUGUGAUUUCCUAUGCCUGUCUUUGCUUUAACCUCUUAAUUCCGUCAUUUUCAUAAGCUGAGGACGUAUGUCACCUUAGGACCCUGUGAUGAUUGCAUUAACUGCACAAAUUGUUUAAACAAUUUGAAAUCUGGGCAUCUUGAAAAAAGAACAGGGUAAGAGCGAUGUUCAGGGAACAAGGGAGGUAACCUUAAAGUCUGGCUGCCUGUGGGCUGGGUGGGACAGAGCCAUAUUUCUCUUAUUACUGAAAACGGGUAAGAGAAAUAUCGCUGAAUUCUUUCCCCAGUGAGGAAUAUUAAUAAUUAACAGCCCUGGGAAAAGAAUGCAUUCCCAGGGUGGGGCCUCUGAAAUGGCCGCUCUGGGGGUGUCUGCCUUAUGCAGAUGUAGAUAGGGAUGAAACAUGCCCUAGUCUCCGGCAGCGCCCCCAGGCUUGCUAGGAUUAGGAAAUUCCAGCCUGGCAAAUUCUAGUCAGACCUGUUUUCUGCUCUUGAACCCUGACAAUGCGUGCACAGCGGGACAUGGAAGUUCAUUAGUGGAUUCUAGUUUCGCCCUGACCUUCUGCCUUGUGAUCUUUUGUCGCCCUUGAAGCAUGUGAUCCCUGUGACCCACACCGUAUCCGUGCACUCCCUCCCCUUUUGAAAAUCACUAAUAAAAACUUGCUGGUUUUGCGGCUUGUGGGGCAUCACGGAACCUGCCGACAUGUGAUGUCUCCCCCGGAUGCCCAGCUUUAAAAUUUCUCUCUUUUGUACUCUGUC
rnacentral:lncRNA from 10 species